UACGUAGGGGGCAAGCGUUGUCCGGAUUUAUUGGGCGUAAAGAGCGUGUAGGCGGCCAGGUAGGUCAGCUGUGAAAACUCGAGGCUCAACCUCGAGACGUCGGUUGAAACCACCUGGCUAGAGUCCGGAAGAGGAGAGUGGAAUUCCCGGUGUAGAGGUGAAAUUCGUAGAUAUCGGGAGGAAUACCGAUGGCGAAGGCAGGUCUCUGGGCUGACACUGACGCUCAUGCACGAAAGCGUGGGGAGCAAACAGG
rnacentral:rRNA from 1 species